GAGUAUCUCAGAGUUUCUCAAGUG
rnacentral:siRNA from 1 species